rnacentral:snRNA from 1 species
AUGUGAGAGUGAGUCACCCAGCUGCAACAUCUUUCCCUUGGCUGAUGGCUGGGGCUGAUUUGGCUGAUCUGGCUGGCGGAGCUGGUGUGUCACCCCUCCCCCCCAUUCCUCCCCUGAAGUUGUAGGCUGGGUUGAAGAGGAUGACUUUCCCUGAAUAGAGGAUGGUCAUCCUUCAAGUAUAUAUGAGUAGCUACAGUCCCGUACUAGAACCUCCAAAUAAGCUCUUACAUUCAUCAUCUUGGGGGUUAGGAUUUCAGUAUAAAUUUUAGAGGGGAAGCAAGCAUUUAACCCUAUAA